UACGUAGGGCGCAAGCGUUGUCCGGAAUUAUUGGGCGUAAAGAGCUCGUAGGCGGCCUGUUGCGUCCGCUGUGAAAUCCCGGGGCUCAACCCCGGGCCUGCAGUGGAUACGGGGCAGACUAGAGUGUGGUAGGGGAGGACUGGAAUUCCUGGUGUAGCGGUGGAAUGCGCAGAUAUCAGGAGGAACACCGAUGGCGAAGGCAGGUCUCUGGGCCAUUACUGACACUGAGAAGCGAAAGCAUGGGGAGCGAACAGG
rnacentral:rRNA from 1 species